rnacentral:sRNA from 1 species
CUUUAAAAAUCUGGAUCAAGCUGAAAAUUGAAACGACACAUCUUUAAUGGUGUGUUCGAGUCUCUCAAAUUUUCGCAAUCAGAAGUGAAACAUCUUCGG